ensembl:lncRNA
AGAGAGCUAAGUGAGACAGACAGAGGGCUGGUACACGGUAGGGAGUGAAGAUGCUGGUUGAGAUCUGCACCGUGGCUAUCUGCUGGGUCAUAACAGCAAGCUGUAGUCAGUGCAUAGAGCCUCGUGAGACAGGUACAAACUUCUCCAUCACAGUGACCCAAGACGUUACAGGAGAGGCUGGACGGUGCAUUCCUAUAUCAUGUAAAUUCACAUACCCAGGCAACGUUACUGAAUACGUACGAAGAGUCUGGUUCAAAGGAGAUCCACUUACACCUGUAUUUGAAAAAGAUGCAGAGGUGUGCGGUGUUGUUUGGCAGUUCCUGAGAGGUCCUGAAAGGUCUUGCAGCUUUUUCCUCGAAGACCAACAAGAAGGAGAACACGAGUAUAGAUUCAAGUUAACAUGGGGAGAUGAUCAAAUGUAUGUUUUUCCUGAGAGGGUACAAGUCUCAGUGUCUGCUCUAACCCAGAAGACGCCCACUGUGGAGACACCCCCUCUCACAGAGGGAGAGAGGGCCACACUGACCUGCAAAGUAUAUUCACUCAAACGAAAUGACCUCUGCCCGCAAAGACUAGAAGAAGAUUUUGUUGGAAUAGUCUGGAGAGGGACAGAGAACUUAGGCAUGCAUUGGGGGAGAAUGGAGCCAUCAACAGCAGAAAAUACUUUCAGUGUGAAUAAGUUGUAUUUCACUCCUAAAUCCGAACAUCACAACAUCAACCUCACAUGUAUGGGCAUCUACAAGAAGGCCAACAUUACUGUGGAGAAAACGGUGACUUUAACAGUAAAAUACCGUCCCAAGUUCCUGAAUGGCUCGGUGUGUGUGGUCCAGGCAGAGGUCCUGACCUGUGUGUGUGUCAGUCAGGGGGUUCCCUUACCAGUGAUUGCUUGGCCAAUGUUAGGGGUCUAUAUUAGUUACAGUGUGAUCGUCUCCAGGAGUGCCCAAACCGUGAACAGCAACAUCACCAUGUCUGCCUCAGAAUAAAAGAACAGCAGCGUGGAGUGUGUCAGCAGAAAUGUAAUUGGCCAGACCGAGAUGGAAUUCCCCAUACUACACCAAGCUGAAGGGAGCC